ACUUGCUUGUCCCGGAAUAACACGAGUUGGUCACGAAUGACGAGCGGUCAUUUCUGCAGCAGUUACGGAAAGAGACGAGGUUGGCCGAUUACAGUUCAUACAGGCCAUAUUGGGAGCCGCGGGGAUUUCGACAGUGUGUAUUAGGAAGUAUAUCUAUGUGGUGUAUGGAAUAUGCGUUUGCCUACCAUGCCAGGCAGUGUGACGGGAUAUCCCAGCGGAUGUAAUAUUCCUACAGCAGAAAUGUUUCACAACCUCGAUUGCAGGGAGCUGAAGACGUGACAUAUUCAGACAGAGACCAUAAUACAUAGACUGUUAUAUGGUCUCUGAUUCAGGUGUGAAGAAUCAAGAACAAAUUAAAUGACAGGAGUUUUGCAACAGUGAACCUUGUGAAGUGGAAGAUAAGACAUUUGAAAGGUACCUGGAUUUCACAAUCUGACACCAGCUACAUUUAAGAAGAUCUUGCUCACACAAUUCAGACAAGGGACUCGCCGGAUGAUGAACAGUACUCCUGAUAACAACCAACAGAUUCACCUCAGAAAGUGAUGAUUCUGAAUGAAUAAUGCCACAUCAGUGUUACUGUAGGUGGUUUUAUUAUGACACUAAUGAAGUCUGAAUGAAUUUAUGCCAAAGCACUGUGACUAUGUCCAGUUUGUGUACACCGAUGCUGACUAUACAAAUCUGAAUGACUUUUGUGGUUUACUGCAGAAA